GGGGUCAUAGCUCAGUUGGCAGAGCACCUCUUUUGCAAGGAGGAGGUCGUCGGUUCGAAUCCGGCUGACUCCA
rnacentral:tRNA from 1 species